rnacentral:rRNA from 1 species
GAUGAACGCUGGCGGCGUGCCUAAUACAUGCAAGUCGAGCGAACGGACGAGAAGCUUGCUUCUCUGAUGUUAGCGGCGGACGGGUGAGUAACACGUGGAUAACCUACCUAUAAGACUGGGAUAAAUUCGGGAAACCGGAGCUAAUACAGGAUAAUAUUUUGAACCGCAUGGUUCAAAAGUGAAAGACGGUCUUGCUGUCACUUAUAGAUGGAUCCGCGCUGCAUUAGCUAGUUGGUAAGGUAACGGCUUACCAAGGCAACGAUGCAUAGCCGACCUGAGAGGGUGAUCGGCCACACUGGAACUGAGACACGGUCCAGACUCCUACGGGAGGCAGCAGUAGGGAAUCUUCCGCAAUGGGCGAAAGCCUGACGGAGCAACGCCGCGUGAGUGAUGAAGGUCUUCGGAUCGUAAAACUCUGUUAUUAGGGAAGAACAUAUGUGUAAGUAACUGUGCACAUCUUGACGGUACCUAAUCAGAAAGCCACGGCUAACUACGUG